UACAGAGGUCUCAAGCGUUGUUCGGAUUCAUUGGGCGUAAAGGGUGCGUAGGCGGCGCGGUAAGUCGGGUGUGAAAUCUCGGAGCUUAACUCCGAAACUGCAUUCGAUACUGCCGUGCUUGAGGACUGGAGAGGAGACUGGAAUUUACGGUGUAGCGGUGAAAUGCGUAGAUAUCGUAAGGAAGACCAGUGGCGAAGGCGGGGUCUCUGGACAGUUCCUGACGCUGAGGCACGAAGGCCAGGGGAGCAAACGGGG
rnacentral:rRNA from 1 species